CGCAGACCGACCAGGGACCAACUGCAGACGAGAACUGGAGAGAAAGUGAAGGAAGAGCCCUCAGGGUGAAAGCGUUAUAAAGAGUUAACGAUAAAAAAUAGCUUUAUAACCCACCAAGGAUGGAGAGAUAGCAUCCAAGGAGCUAAAGAGAAAUCUCACUUUAGACACCUGGGGAACUCGAAUGAAAAGA
rnacentral:ncRNA from 1 species